GUACGAGGGGGGCAAGCGUUGUUCGGAUUUAUUGGGCGUAAAGGGUGCGUAGGCGGUCUGGCAAGUCUUGUGUGAAAUCUUCGGGCUCAACCCGAAGUCUGCACAAGAAACUGCCGGGCUUGAGUAUGGGAGAGGUGAGUGGAAUUUCCGGUGUAGAGGUGAAAUUCGUAGAUAUCGGGAGGAACACCAGUGGCGAAGGCGGCGAUCUGGGAAGAGUACUGACGCUGAGGUGCGAAAGCGUGGGGAGCAAAGCAGG
rnacentral:rRNA from 1 species